CAUUGGUUGCGAUUGUCGGAGCCACCAUGCUGUUCGCUAGGCCGUUGAGAACCUUGCACCCUUUACACACCGCCUUCUCCUCCUCCAUAUCAUACCCUCCAUCUCAUCCAUCCUUUCCCCUUGUAAGCUCCUCAAACCCUAAUUCCUCUUCCAGCUGUUGUUCUUCAAGUUCCAUCUUGGAGAAAUUGAGUUUUUGUCUGUGUGAUUUAUGCAACAGAGGAAUGGAUUCCGAUAGAGAAGUUGGGGAGAGAAGUGGUGGAAGUCUAUGUCAAGGAUCAAAAGUUAAAAGCGCUAGAGGUUUUCUUCCAGUUCAGGAGUCUUUGUGGGAAGAGAAAGUGUUGGAAGGAGAGAUCACUUAUGCUGCAAUAUGUGAUUGAAUCUGGGAUAAAGAAUUUGGUGCUGGGAUGUUCAUCAUUUAGUUGGAUCAGGAGAAUUUUAAACAAUUACCGACGGGUGAAGAGCCCAGCGGUACCCCGGGUCCCCUCAUGUUGAGGAGGCGCAAGUUCGAUUCCCAUGAAUCGCGCUCCCCGCUUUUCAAAGGGUGAAAACGUGGUGGCGAUACCCCUGCCCCACGUACGCCCCUGAGGGUUGGCUCUUGUCGCCCUACCUC